rnacentral:rRNA from 1 species
GAUUAACGCUGGCGGCGUGCAUAACACAUGCAAGUCGAACGAUAAAACUUAAAUUAUCUCUUCGGUUUGAUUCUAAGUGGUUUAGUGGCGGACGGGUGAGUAACGCGUGAGUAACCUGCCUUAGAGAAUGGGCUAGCCUUUGGAAACGAAGAAUAAUACCCUAUUAUACAAACCCUCCGCAUGUAGAGUUGGUCAAAGAUUUAUCUCUCUAAGAUGGACUUGCGUCUGAUUAGUUAGUUGGUGAGGUAACGGCCCACCAAGACAGCGAUCAGUAGCCGGCUUGAGAGAGGGUACGGCCACAUUGGGACUGAGACACGGCCCAGACGCCUACGGGAGGCAGCAGUGGGGAAUUUUGCACAAUGGGGGAAACCCGGAUGCAGCGACGCCGCGUGAUUUAGAAGGCCUUCGGGUUGUAAAAAUCUUUUCGAUGGGAAGAAAAUGACAGUACCAGAGGAAUAAGGACCGGCUAAUUACGUG